GUGCUCGCUUCAGCAGCACAAAUACUAAAAUGGGAACGAUACAGAGAGGAUUAGCAUGGCCCCCGCACAAGGAUGACAUGCAGAUUCAUGAAGCGUUCCGUAUUUUU